AUUGAACGCUGGCGGCAUGCCUUACACAUGCAAGUCGAACGGAGAAUGCAGAAAUGUUUACAUAGAAGCGUUCUUAGCGGCGGACGGGUGAGUAACACGUGGGUAACCUGCCUCAAAGUGGGGGAUAGCCUUCCGAAAGGAAGAUUAAUACCGCAUAAGCCUACAGUAUCGCAUGGUACAGCAGGAAAGGAGCAAUCCGCUUUGAGAUGGACCCGCGGCGCAUUAGCUAGUUGGUGAGGUAACGGCUCACCAAGGCGACGAUGCGUAGCCGACCUGAGAGGGUGAUCGGCCACAUUGGAACUGAGACACGGUCCAG
rnacentral:rRNA from 1 species